UCCGGUUUGUCACCGGCAGUCUCACUAGAGUGCCCGUUACCGUAGCAACUAGUGACAAGGGUUGCGCUCGUUGCGGGACUUAACCCAACAUCUCACGACACGAGCUGACGACAGCCAUGCAGCACCUGUGUCCAGGCUCCCUUUCGGGCACACCUCCCUCUCAAGAGGCUUCCUGGCAUGUCAAGGGUAGGUAAGGUUCUUCGCGUUGCAUCGAAUUAAUCCACAUCAUCCACCGCUUGUGCGGGUCCCCGUCAAUUCCUUUGAGUUUUAACCUUGCGGCCGUACUCCCCAGGCGGUCAACUUCACGCGUUAGCUUCGUUACUAAUGGGUUUAACCCCACCAACAACCAGUUGACAUCGUUUAGGGCGUGGACUAC
rnacentral:misc_RNA from 1 species